GGAGAGGUACCGAAGCGGUCAUAACGGCGCCGACUCGAAAUCGGAUGGUGGGCGAAAGCCCGCACAAGGGUUCGAAUCCCUUCCUCUCCGCCA
rnacentral:tRNA from 1 species